UACGAAGGGGGCUAGCGUUGUUCGGAAUUACUGGGCGUAAAGCGUGCGCAGGCGGCUUCUCAAGUCAGGGGUGAAAGCCCCAGAGCUCAACUCUGGAAUUGCCUUUGAGACUGAGUGGCUUGAGUACGAGAGAGGUGAGUGGAAUUCCCAGUGUAGAGGUGAAAUUCGUAGAUAUUGGGAAGAAACACCGGUGGCGAAGGCGGCGACCUGGUCCGAUACUGACGCUGAGGCGCGAAAGCGUGGGGAGCAAACAGG
rnacentral:rRNA from 1 species